UACGUAGGGUGCGAGCGUUGUCCGGAAUUAUUGGGCGUAAAGGGCUCGUAGGCGGUUUGUCGCGUCGGGAGUGAAAACCUUGGGCUUAACUCAGGGCUUGCUUUCGAUACGGGCAGACUAGAGGUAUGCAGGGGAGAACGGAAUUCCUGGUGUAGCGGUGAAAUGCGCAGAUAUCAGGAGGAACACCGGUGGCGAAGGCGGAUCUCUGGGCCUUACCUGACGCUCAGGCACGAAAGCUAGGGGAGCGAACAGG
rnacentral:rRNA from 1 species